GGUGACUUGUACUUUGAUUUGACACUUGAUGUUGUGAUAGGUAAUGGAGCAUUUUCUAGUGCUGCAAGUAUAUUGGAUAUAAAAUAUAAAAGGUUAAAAUGAAGGGAAAAUGUAAUACAAAUAGACUAACAACAAACUAAAGAAAAAUCAAACAUGCUGCUGGCUGCAGCAUGGUAGCCCAGCUGUCCCAGCGAGACAGCCAGCUGGGCAGCAGGCAAGGAGGCUGGGCAGAUGUCUGGCUUCUGCUGAGGGCUUUGAUGGCAUUGAUGUGCACACAGAGCGUCUUGAUAUCAUCGAAUCAGCAUUUUCCAACAGAAAGGGGCUCAGAAGACCAUUCUGCUGGAAAAUUGUUGACCUGCUCUAUUGGCGGCUGAUCAUUCAGAAAUACAGCUGAACAUUGUGCUUUAAAAUAAAUAAAUCAAGCAACAAAGACUAUUCUUCCCAAAUUAGGAGUUUGGUGCUCUUCCUCUUACAUUACAAGCAAUACUUGUCCCUAUCCACCUUCACAUCACUCAUAAUGAUGCAGACCUCUACCCUUUUCCCCUUCAAUCUUGUCCUUUGCAGGCAAGAGCCCUAAACAUUGUAAGCUUUCCUUCCACAGAGGCCAGUCCUUGCAUCUAACAAUCUCUCUUACCUUCUCCAUACCUUCUGUUGUUCUCCUACAGUAUUUCUGCAAGGGGCAAUCAGACCUGCAGGCAGGAUUUGAGGUGUGGGGAUUUAGACACAGCAUAACAAUGCUUCUUGUUCUCAGAGCCUUCCUUCACCCUCCCUGUGGCUGUGAGAAUGGAGCCAGCACUUGGAGCAGCUACAAAGGUGCCAGAACAUCUUCCUGCUACGGCUUUUCCAGGAUGUUUUUCCAUAAGGAUGCUGAAUUUGAUAAAAAUAGUCACUACUAGGGAGUAGCUCGUUUCUGGUUACAUCUUCAGUGAGGUCCUCAGCUGGAGCUUUCUCCACCACACAUGCAGCUGUGUCCAGAGCUCCUGCUAAGGGUGGGAGAGAUGGGGAAGGGGCUGCUGGCGCUGGGAAGCAG